AACCAAUGGUGAGGUCACCUUCUUAACAGAUCAUUGAUCUCUCCCAUGCAUCGUAGAGUGUCUCUAAAUCCAUCUGCACAAAAGAGGAGAUAUCAUUACGUAAUUU
rnacentral:snoRNA from 1 species